rnacentral:rRNA from 1 species
GACGAACGCUGGCGGCGUGCUUAACACAUGCAAGUCGAACGGAAAGACCCUGCUUUUGUGGGGUGCUCGAGUGGCGAACGGGUGAGUAACACGUGAGUAACCUGCCCUUGACUUUGGGAUAACUUCAGGAAACUGGGGCUAAUACCGGAUAGGAGCUCCUGCUGCAUGGUGGGGGUUGGAAAGUUUCGGCGGUUGGGGAUGGACUCGCGGCUUAUCAGCUUGUUGGUGGGGUAGUGGCUUACCAAGGCUUUGACGGGUAGCCGGCCUGAGAGGGUGACCGGCCACAUUGGGACUGAGAUACGGCCCAGACUCCUACGGGAGGCAGCAGUGGGGAAUAUUGCACAAUGGGCGGAAGCCUGAUGCAGCAACGCCGCGUGCGGGAUGACGGCCUUCGGGUUGUAAACCGCUUUCGCCUGUGACGAAGCGUGAGUGACGGUAAUGGGUAAAGAAGCACCGGCUAACUAC